CUCGUAGGCGGCUUGUUGCGUCGACUGUGAAAACCCGUGGCUCAACCAUGUGGUCUGCAGUCGAUACGGGCAGGCUAGAAUUCGGUAGGGGAGACUGGAAUUCCUGGUGUAGCGGUGAAAUGCGCAGAUAUCAGGAGGAACACCGGUGGCGAAGGCGGGUCUCUGGGCCGAUAUUGACGCUGAGGAGCGAAAGCGUGGGGAGCGAACA
rnacentral:rRNA from 1 species